UUCGCAAUGCCCGAAAGGGUGACGAAGCGACGCCGCGUGGGUGAGGAAGGCCUUCGGGUUGUAAAGCCCUGUCAGGAGUUAAGAAAUGUAAGUGCGCUAAUAUCGCAUUUAUUUGACGAAGGCUCCAAAGGAAGCCACGGCUAACUCUGUGCCAGCAGCCGCGGUAAUACAGAGGUGGCAAGCGUUGUUCGGAAUUAUUGGGCGUAAAGAGCACGUAGGUGGGUUUGUAAGUCAGAUGUGAAAGCCUUCUGUUCAACGGAAGAAUUGCAUCUGAAACUACAAGUCUUGAGUGUAGGAGGGGAGAAUGGAACUUCUGGUGGAGCGGUGAAAUGCGUAGAUAUCAGAAGGAACGCCGGCGGCGAAAGCGAUUCUCUGGCCUAUUACUGACACUCAGUGUGCGAAAGCUAGGGGAGCAAACGGGAUUAGAUACCCCGGUAGUCCUAGCUGUAAACGAUGGGCACUAAGUAGAGGGGUUUU
rnacentral:rRNA from 1 species